rnacentral:lncRNA from 1 species
AUGCUUGAACGGUUAGAAAACUGUUACAAUUUCGUACGUGUAGUUUAAAUUUUUUUUAAAUAUCUAUGCAGUGAAAAUAAAUAAAUUAAAAUAAUUUUAAUUUACACAUAUUUCAGAUCUAAUCUGAAAAUCGUAGUAAGGAUUUAGAUAUGAACAAGUAACUAUGAUCUAAAAUCUGAAAAAGAAAAACAAUCAUUAGCCAAAAAUAAGUUGGAGAUCAGAUCUCAAUACCUCAGAUACUGCGGAUGUCCCGGGUU